rnacentral:lncRNA from 1 species
CCCUACUCUCUCACUGACAUGCAUCUUCUCCCUAUUCUUCCCCUCUUCUCACUCUUCACCUACUGCUUUAGCACCAUUAGUAUAUAUCUUUUUGUGAGUGAGUGUGGGGAGAGAGAGGGCAUCUAAUCCUCUCUUUUCUUUGCUACCUCUUGGAUGGACCAAUGAGUUGGCAUCACAAUUCACAACAAGCUUUGUUUCUUUGCCAGCUUUGUGAGAGUUUUGUA